rnacentral:rRNA from 1 species
UUCGACGAGUCGAGUUGUUUGGGAAUGCAGCUCUAAAUGGGAGGUAAAUUUCUUCUAAAGCUAAAUACUGGCCAGAGACCGAUAGCGCACAAGUAGAGUGAUCGAAAGAUGAAAAGCACUUUGGAAAGAGAGUCAAAUAGCACGUGAAAUUGUUGAAAGGGAAGCGCUUGCAGCCAGACUUGCCUGUAGUUGCUCAUCCGGGCUUUUGCCCGGUGCACUCUUCUACAGGCAGGCCAGCAUCAGUUUGGGCGGUUGGAUAAAGGUCUCUGUCACGUUCCUCUCUUCGGGGAGGCCAUAUAGGGGAGACGACAUACAACCAGCCUGGACUGAGGUCCGCGCAUUUGCUAGGAUGCUGGCGUAAUGGCUGUAAGCGGCCCGUCUUGAAACACGGACCAAGGAGUCUAACAUCUAUGCGAGUGUUUGGGUGUCAAGCCCGAACGCGUAAUGAAAGUGAACGGAGGUGGGAACCCUUGGGUGCACCAUCGACCGAUCCUGAUGUCUUCGGAAGGAUUUGAGUAAGAGCAUGGCUGUUGGGACCCGAAAGAUGGUGAACUAUGCUUGAAUAGGGU